rnacentral:rRNA from 1 species
GACGAACGCUGGCGGCGUGCUUAACACAUGCAAGUCGAACGAUGAAGCGGUGCUUGCACCGUGGAUUCGUGGCGAACGGGUGAGUAAUACGUGAGUGACCUACCUUUGACUCUGGGAUAAGCCUGGGAAACUGGGUCUAAUACCGGAUACGACCAAUCUCUGCAUGGGGUGUUGGUGGAAAGCGUUCUGGAGUGGUUUUAGAUGGGCUCACGGCCUAUCAGCUUGUUGGUGAGGUAAUGGCUUACCAAGGCGACGACGGGUAGCCGGCCUGAGAGGGUGACCGGCCACACUGGGACUGAGACACGGCCCAGACUCCUACGGGAGGCAGCAGUGGGGAAUAUUGCACAAUGGGCGCAAGCCUGAUGCAGCGACGCCGCGUGAGGGAUGACGGCCUUCGGGUUGUAAACCUCUGUUAGCAUCGAAGAAGCGAAAGUGACGGUAGGUGCAGAGAAAGCGCCGGCUAACUACGUG